rnacentral:lncRNA from 1 species
CAAAGAGUUGUAGAACGAUGUACCUCAGGUCGAUCGUGACAUUAUGAGCUCCACUAUCUACCGGUCCGCAGAACCACCGUUGCAGCUCCGUCUGUCGACUGUGAAUCUGAGAAAAAGGAAACACGAGCAAUCCAAAGGAGAAAUGAAAGAAAUCAAUGACAAGAGGAAAUAGAAGAAGGAAGAAAGGAAGAUAGUGUACCUGCAAGGGAGAAAGCGGGUGGAAUGAAGUGAGAAACUGAUUUUAUGGUUCAAGUGAAAUGAAAGGAGAAAUUGAUUCAGAAGAUUUUUAAAGGAAAAUAAAUUUUUAGAAGAAUAAUGGGUUUAGGCACAGAUGGGUUUUAGAUAUGGAGGGAAUAAAAUUUUAGAAUUGCUAAAACGAAACUUAGUUUAAAAUUUUUAGAGAGAAAAAUGUAAAAGAAUUAAAAAAUGAAGAAAAAAAAUAUAUUAUUAUUUGAAGAGAUUAUAGACCUCUCUUAAAAGGAAUUAAAACCCCUA